GCCGGCAGCUAGCUCUCUCCAACUCUCACAUAUUUGCCCACUGAAGCUAAACAGGGCUGUGCCUGGUCAGUACCUGGAUGGGAGACCACAUGGGAAAGCUAGGUUGCUGCCGGAA
ensembl:rRNA 5S_rRNA 5S ribosomal RNA